UACGUAGGUGGCGAGCGUUGUCCGGAUUUACUGGGCGUAAAGAGCGCGCAGGCGGUCGUUCAAGUCGCGUGUGAAAGCCCCCGGCUCAACUGGGGAGGGUCAUUCGAUACUGAUCGACUCGAAGGCAGGAGAGGGUAGUGGAAUUCCCGGUGUAGUGGUGAAAUGCGUAGAUAUCGGGAGGAACACCAGUGGCGAAGGCGACUACCUGGCCUGUUCUUGACGCUGAGGCGCGAAAGCUAGGGGAGCAAACGGG
rnacentral:rRNA from 1 species